ACGGGAGGCAGCAGUGGGGAGUAUUGGGCAAUGGGCGAAAGCCUGACCCAGCGACGCCGCGUGAGGGAAGACGGUCUUCGGAUUGUAAACCUUAGUCAACAGGGACGAAGAAAGUGACGGUACCUGUGGAGGAAGCCGCGGCUAACUACGUGCCAGCAGCCGCGGUAAUACGUAGGGGGCAAGCGUUAUCCGGAUUUACUGGGUGUAAAGGGAGCGUAGACGGCAUGGCAAGUCUGAUGUGAAAACCCGGGGCUCAACCCCGGGACUGCAUUGGAAACUGUCAGGCUAGAGUGCAGGAGAGGUAAGUGGAAUUCCUAGUGUAGCGGUGAAAUGCGUAGAUAUUAGGAGGAACACCAGUGGCGAAGGCGGCUUACUGGACUGUAACUGACGUUGAGGCUCGAAAGCGUGGGGAGCAAACAGGAUUAGAUACCCUGGUA
rnacentral:rRNA from 1 species